rnacentral:rRNA from 1 species
UCUGUAGGAUAAUAAUAUACAGUCUAGCCUGCCCGCUGAGUUUUUGAAGGGCCGCAGUAAUUUGACUGUGCAAAGGUAGCAUAAUCAAUAGUCUUUUAAUUGGAGAAUGGAAUGAAGGGUUGUAUAAGAUUAUACUGUCUUCAUUUUAAUUAUAAAAUUUUACAUAUAAGUGAAAAGGCUUAUAUAAAUUAAUGUGACGAUAAGACCCUAUAAAACUUUAUAAAUUUAUAUUUAUUUUGAAAUUUGUUGUUUAGAAAAAUUAAUUUGAAUUUAUUUUACUGGGGCGGUAGCAAUAUAAAAUAGUAACUGUUGAUUAAAUUUAAUAUACAUAUAUAGUUUUGUUGAUCCUAUCCUAGAGAUUAAAAGAUUAAGUUACUUUAGGGAUAACAGCGUAAUUUUCUUUGAGAGUUCUUAUUGACAAGGAUAUUUGCGACCUCGAUGUUGAAUUUAAAAUUUCCUACUAGUGCAACAGCAGUAAGGGUAAGUCUGUUCGACUUUUAAAAUU